UCCCUGGUGGUCCAGAGGUUAAGACACUGUGUUUCUGCUGCAGGGGGCAAGGGUUCAAUCCCUAGCCAGGGAA
rfam:Ovis aries breed Texel chromosome 5, whole genome shotgun sequence.